GGGGAAUAUUGGACAAUGGGGGGAACCCUGAUCCAGCCAUGCCGCGUGUGUGAAGAAGGCCUUAUGGUUUAAAACACCUUAAACCAAGGAGGGGGCCCUUUGGUUUAUUCCCCAAGUUGAGGGAACUUACUCGCCAAAUAAGGAACGGGCAAACUCGUGCCAGCAGCCGCGGUAAUACAGAGGGUGCGAGCGUUAAUCGGAUUUACUGGGCGUAAAGCGUGCGUAGGCGGCUUUUUAAGUCGGAUGUGAAAUCCCCGAGCUUAACUUGGGAAUUGCAUUCGUUACUGGGAAGCUAGAGUAUGGGAGAGGAUGGUAGAAUUCCAGGUGUAGCGGUGAAAUGCGUAGAGAUCUGGAGGAAUACCGAUGGCGAAGGCAGCCAUCUGGCCUAAUACUGACGCUGAGGUACGAAAGCAUGGGGAGCAAACA
rnacentral:rRNA from 1 species